rfam:Clostridium cadaveris strain NLAE-zl-G419 genome assembly, contig: Ga0070261_124
CUGUCGGUAUUUAUAUUAAAUCGAACAGAAUAAUUUAUAUUAAGUUUCAACUCAUAUCCUUAACGGAAUGAGAGUGAGGA